rnacentral:lncRNA from 1 species
CAGGACAAAGCUUUUUCGUGGGAAGAAGGUGCAAGGAGAUUAUGACAUCAAAGUGGAGCAGGCUGAGUUCAGUGAGAUUAAUCUGGUGGCUCAUGCUAACGGCACGUGCAGUGUGGACAUGCAGGUCAUCAGAAACGGCACCAAAGUGGUUCG